GAUGAACGCUAGCGGCAGGCUUAAUACAUGCAAGUCGAGGGGCAGCAGCUUUGUAGCAAUACAGGGGCUGGCGACCGGCAAACGGGUGCGGAACACGUACGCAACCUUCCUUUAACUGGGAGAUAGCCCACCGAAAGGUGGAUUAAUAUCCCAUAGUAUAUUUGAGUGGCAUCACUUAGAUAUUAAAGCUCCGGCGGUUAAAGAUGGGCGUGCGUCUGAUUAGGUAGUUGGCGGGGUAACGGCCCACCAAGCCCACGAUCAGUAGCUGAUGUGAGAGCAUGAUACGCCACCCGGGAACUGGGACACGGGCCCGACUCCUACGGGAGGCAGCAGUAAGGAAUAUUGGUCAAUGGACGCAAGUCUGAACCAGCCAUGCCGCGUGGAGGAUGAAGGCCCUCUGGGUUGUAAACUUCUUUUCUUUGGGACGAAACCCCUGUUUCUACGGGGACUGACGGUACCAGAGGAAUAAGCACCGGCUAACUCCGUGCCAGCCGCCGCCGUAAUAC
rnacentral:rRNA from 1 species